GACUGCAUUGCUUUGGAUUUAGAUAAAAGACUCCAUGCAAGACAAAUGGUAGGAGGACAUCAAACAAGACUGUGUCCAUGCAGUGACAGAAGCAAUCCAAUUGAAGAAGCUGUUGAUUUCUACAAGGAACAC
rnacentral:lncRNA from 1 species